rnacentral:misc_RNA from 1 species
AACGCACAUUGCGCCUCCGGGUAUUCCUGGAGGCAUGCCUGUUCGAGCGUCGUUUAGACCAUGAGGCCUUGCCUUGCGAUGACACCUGGUACCCGACGGGUUCCAUCUGUUCAAACACAUUGGCAUCCUGAAGUUGGGCCCAGCACAGCAUAAUGUGCGGGGGACGACGGAAGGAUGCCUGUACCACGGCGGUCCCCGACCCUGCGGUCGGGACCGCUCCAUUGGUCGACCUCGGAUCAGGCAAGAUUACCCGCUGAACUUAA